rnacentral:rRNA from 2 species
CAGGGAUUGCCUCAGUAACGGCGAGUGAAGCGGCAACAGCUCAAAUUUGAAAUCUGGCCCCUUGGGGGUCCGAGUUGUAAUUUGUAGAGGGUGUUUCGGGCGCGAUGCCGGUCUAAGUUCCUUGGAACAGGACGUCGUAGAGGGUGAGAAUCCCGUAUGCGACCGGCGAUCAAGCCUGUGUGAAGCCCCUUCGACGAGUCGAGUUGUUUGGGAAUGCAGCUCAAAAUGGGUGGUAAAUUUCAUCUAAAGCUAAAUAUUGGCCAGAGACCGAUAGCGGACAAGUAGAGUGAUCGAAAGAUGAAAAGCACUUUGGAAAGAGAGUCAAACAGUACGUGAAAUUGUUGAAAGGGAAGCGCUUGCAAUCAGACCGGUCCGGAGGCGAUCAGCCGCUGCUCGUCAGCGGUGCACUCGCCUGCGAUCCGGCCAGCAUCGGUUCGGGCGGCGGGAUAAAAGUCCCGGGAAUGUAGCUUCUUUCGGGGAGUCUUAUAGCCCGGGUCGCAAUGCCGCCCGCCCGGACCGAGGACCGCGCUUCGGCUAGGAUGCUGGCGUAAUGGUUGCAAGCGACCCGUCUUGAAACACGGACCAAGGAGUCUAACAUCUAUGCGAGUGUUUGGGUGUCAAACCCAGGCGCGGAAUGAAAGUGAACGGAGGUGGGAACCCGUCAGACGGCGCACCAUCGACCGAUCCAGAUGUCUUCGGAUGGAUUUGAGUAUGAGCAUAGCUGUUGGGACCCGAAAGAUGGUGAACUAUGCCCGGAUAGGGUGAAGCCAGAGGAAACUCUGGUGGAGGCUCGCAGCGGUUCUGACGUGCAAAUCGAUCGUCAAAUCUAGGCAUAGGGGCGAAAGACCAAUCGAACCAUCUAG